rnacentral:lncRNA from 1 species
CCAAUUAGGUUUCAUUGCAGGUCCUCAAGGACACAUGCUAAAAUGUUAUUGAAUAUAUUCUUUCAUUAACUUGGCAUGACUGAUCUAUUCGAUCUUUCCAAGUUUGAUUUAAUCCAAUAUUUAUUACUAUGUUAUGAUCCAACUGGGUCGCAAAGGGCGUGCAAUGGUACCUAGAAGCUCCUGAGGAAUCAAAAGGAGCUUUUGGACUAAAACUAGACGGAGGA